ensembl:misc_RNA
CCUGAGAUACCUGUUCCUUUGUCCAAAUCACCUUUUGAGAUAUCAGUGGAAGAAUUAAUACUUCAUAAUCC